ensembl:rRNA 5S_rRNA 5S ribosomal RNA
GCUGACAGCCAUACCACCCUGAAUACGCCCAAUCUCGGAAAGUAAGCAGGGUCGGGCCUGGUUAGUACUUGGAUGGGAGACCGCCCACGAAUACCGGGUGCUGUAAGCG